UCCCCGAUAACUCAGUUGGUAAAGAAUCUGCCUGCAAUGCAGGAGACCCUGGUUCGAUUCCUGGGUCAGGAA
rnacentral:tRNA from 1 species